rnacentral:rRNA from 1 species
GCCGCAAAGCUAGCUCAACAACUUUUGAUAAAAUUAACAGUUUUAUUAUUCUUAAUCAGCAAACUUAAUUUUUUUACCAAACCAUUUGACCCCCCCAGUAUGGGCGACAGAAAAGGACAACGAAGCCAUAGAUAAAGUACCGCAAGGGAACGCUGAAAAAGAACUGAAAUAACCCAUUAAAGCAUAGCAAAGCAGAGAUUAACCCUCGUACCUUUUGCAUCAUGAUUCAGCCAGUACAUAUAAGCAAAGAGCCCUCUAGUUUAUAACCCCGAAACUUGACGAGCUACUCCGAGACAGUCAUUAAUGGACUAACCCGUCUCUGUGGCAAAAGAGUGGGAAGAUCUCCGAGUAGAGGCAAUAAACCUAUCGAGCCAAGUCAUAGCUGGUUGCUCAAUAAAUGAAUAAAAGUUCAGCUCCGCCAAGCCCGACUCAAAAAAGUCCCACUCAGCAAAGACUAUGAGCUUUACGCGGAAGUUAAUCAGAGGAGGUACAGCUCCCCUGAUAAAGGACACAACCUUAACAGGAGACUAAAGAAUGUUUUAAUUUAAGGCUCUAGGUCUUGGUGGGCCUAAAAGCAGCCAUCCAAACAGAAAGCGUUAAAGCUCCGGUCUAGAUAAAAGCCUAUUAUUUUAUAUUUUCACCUUAUAUCCCUUUUACUCAUUGAGCCCUCCCAUGCCCCCAUGGAAGAGAUUAUGCUGAAACAAGUAACAAGAAGAAUGAACUUCUCCCUGCACAAAUGUAAGUCGAAUUGGACCAACCAUCGAUGCUUAACGAACCCAAAAAAAGAGGGCAAUAUAUCAUCGCCGCUUUAAGCCAAGAAAAUUUUAUAUGUUUUUAUCGUUACCCCCACACAGGAGUGCUAAUCUAGGGAAAGACUUAAAGGAAAAAAAGGAACUCGGCAAACUCAAACCCCGCCUGUUUACCAAAAACAUCGCCUCUUGCAUAAUUAGUAUAAGAGGUCCCACCUGCCCUGUGACACUAUGUUUAACGGCCGCGGUAUCCUAACCGUGCGAAGGUAGCGCAAUCAAUUGCCCCUUAAAUGGGGGCCUGUAUGAAUGGUAUAACGAGGGUUUAGCUGUCUCUUUUUUCUGGUCAGUGAAACUGAUCUGUCCGUGCAGAAGCGGACAUUUUUAUACAAGACGAGAAGACCCUAUGGAGCUUUAGACACUAGCCAACUAUUAAAAGCACCUCCCCCACGGAGUUCCAACUUAGAUAGCCAUGGUAACGUGAUCUUAGGUUGGGGCGACCAUGGGAGAAAAGCUAGCUCCCAAGAAGAUGGGAAUAUUUUCUAAAACCAAGAGUGACAACUCAAAGCCGCAAAACUUUUGACUAUAUGAUCCGGCACAAAGCCGAUUAACGAACUAAGUUACCCUAGGGAUAACAGCGCAAUCCCCUCCCAGAGUCCCUAUCGACGAGAGGGUUUACGACCUCGAUGUUGGAUCAGGAUAUCCUAAUGGUGCAACCGCUAUUAAGGGUUCGUUUGUUCAACGAUUAAAAUCCUACGUGAUCUGAGUUCAGACCGGAGUAAUCCAGGUCGGUUUCUAUCUGUAAAGUUAUCACCCCUAGUACGAAAGGACCGGGGUAGGUGGGGCCCAUGCUAUGAUUAAGCCCCUCAUCCACCUGCUGAAGAAAACUAAAACAGGCAAGGACGGACCAUCUAAUAGCUCAAGAAAAGAGCAACAUUAAUUUAU